CUCCAGCUCAUUUUCUGGAUAUAAAUGUUACUGUGAAAUAGUUUGGUACAGAGGUGAUAUUUUCCAGCAAAAGAAGGGCAAAAUUUACCAGACUCACUGCAGAACUGGAUCCUCUUUUACCAUAAAGACACUUCUAUACUUAAUAGUCACAGUCUGUCUCCUCGGGCUGCCAAGAGGUCACAGGAGAGUCUUGCCCCAGCAUAGUGCCUGGAGGAGCAUGGGCCCCAUCUACGGGCUGAGAUCAGCUGCUCACACCCCCGCAGCAGGGACCAGAGCAAGAGCAGGAAGGGACCAGUGCUGAGCCAAAUCUAUUCACUGGGAGAAUGGAAUCUUCAAGGCUGUCUGCUGGUGAGCUGAAGUUGCUGACUUAGAAGGCUGAAAAAAUCGUACUCCAAGAUUUUGUAACUGGAUCAGCCCUUCCAUAAAAAUGAAUUAACACACUACAUGGGUAAG
rnacentral:lncRNA from 1 species